AUGGCACUUGGUCGCGCGUCACAAACAAAGGGCAGGGCAGGUGCCCCUGUCCCGCUUACGUCGAGAAACCGCGUCAACCAACUCCACAGGUUAUCGACAAGGCGGCAAGCACAAGCCGUCCCGGCGGACGGCGACGGCUUCCUCGCCCUGUGCCGGCCGCGGUCACCGCGAAACGGCGGCGCACGGUCGGCAGGGCCACGCGCGCUCUCUGCUGGCGGCGCACGCGGAGGCAAGCCGAUAAACACGAGUGAUUCUAGGCGGUGGCACCAGGCCAGGGCGGUAGGGGGCCUACACGCGCGACCCGACUCGACUCUCGCAUUUGGGGAUCGGGGGACCAGAUUGCACAUCGUUUUCCGUUUGAGGGACCAGAUUGCCCUCUGCCGUCGCCGUCGCCGUCGGGGGUGGCGGCCAUGGGUUCACGCACGGCGCGGGUUUGCCCCGCCCCCUCCCCUUCCCUUCCACAAGGCCACCGCCACCGCCACAACAGCUCGGAGCUCGGCCAGGAGGCACUGCAGUAAGCGGCCGAGUCGAGGAGCCGCCUGCGGGCGACCGGCGAGGAGGGUUAGGGGCCUCAGCUCCAACGCAGACACGAACGGAGUCCCUGUACCGAAGUUUAUGAGACAGACUGACACGGAGUCGCCCGGAGCAACGAUGGAGCAGAGGUCAAAGAGGUGCAGGGAUCUAUCUAGAAGGGAAAAGCAGGAUGACACGAAUUUCAUUACCAGUGGUAGAAGAAGGCUGGCCAUGGACUCGAAUCGUCGUCGUGGCCAGGACGAGCAGCGGUGCCAAGAUCCAUGUCAGUUUUGUACUCGCCGAGCUGAUGAUCGCCAUGGCACUCUUGGGUUUUUGCAAGGCCUUGCAGGCGAGAGGCAUCCCUAUGUGCCACAGAGCAACCCUGUCAAUUAUAUGGCAGAGGAAACCAGCUAA
rnacentral:rRNA from 1 species